AUGAGGAAAAUCUGGAUGCAACAUCUGUCACUCUAUGAACCACCAGGGAUGAUUCAGCUGAUCUACCUGGAUAAGCAGGCAACCCUAUCCUUUCCCAUCACACGUGAAUCUAUAGGCAUUACUGUAGAGGACGGCUUCCCAGGAAGAGAAAGAACAUCUCUCAGUCAAGGGUAACUCGCUUGUUCACACCUCCAAAGAUGCUAUCAAGACCCUAUCUUGCCAACAUCAAAAUAAUCCUAUCAGCAUAUAGAAUAAAUAAAUCAUAUAUUUUAACUAU
rnacentral:snRNA from 1 species